rnacentral:rRNA from 1 species
UUUGAUCAUGGCUCAGGAUUAACGCUAGCGGCAGGCCUAAUACAUGCAAGUCGAACGGGAUUAUUGGUAGCAAUACUGAUAUGAGAGUGGCGCACGGGUGCGUAACGCGUAUGCAACCUACCWCUAACUGGGGGAUAGCCUUCCGAAAGGAAGAUUAAUACCGCAUAAAACAAUGAAGUGGCAUCACUUUAUUGUCAAAACUCCGGUGGUUAGAGAUGGGCAUGCGUAAUAUUAGCUUGUUGGUGAGGUAAUGGCUCACCAAGGCUACGAUAUUUAGGGGGUCUGAGAGGAUGAUCCCCCACACUGGUACUGAGACACGGACCAGACUCCUACGGGAGGCAGCAGUAAGGAAUAUUGGACAAUGGUGGCAACACUGAUCCAGCCAUGCCGCGUGCAGGAUGAAUGCCCUAUGGGUUGUAAACUGCUUUUAUACGGGAAAAAACCCCACUACGUGUAGUGGGCUGAUGGUACCGUAAGAAUAAGGAUCGGCUAACUUCGUGCCAGCAGCCGCGGUAAUACGAAGGAUUCGAGCGUUAUCCGGAUUUAUUGGGUUUAAAGGGUGCGUAGGUGGAUUAAUAAGUCAGUGGUGAAAGCCCGAAGCUCAACUUCGGAACUGCCAUUGAUACUGUUAAUCUUGAGUACAGUUGAGGUGGGCGGAAUGUGUCAUGUAGCGGUGAAAUGCUUAGAUAUGACACAGAACACCGAUUGCGAAGGCAGCUCACUAAGCUGUAACUGACACUGAGGCACGAAAGUGUGGGUAGCAAACAGGAUUAGAUACCCUGGUAGUCCACACCCUAAACGAUGAUUACUCGUUGUUGGCGAUACACAGUCAGCGACUAAGCGAAAGCAUUAAGUAAUCCACCUGGGGGAGUACGGUCGCAAGACUGAAACUCAAGGAAUUGACGGGGGCCCCGCACAGCGGAGGAGCAUGUGGUUUAUCGAUGAU